GAUGAACGCGGCGGCGUGCCUAAUACAUGCAAGUCGAGCGAGAAGCUUGGAAAUGACGCUUCGGUUGAUUUUCCAAGCGGACAGCGGCGGACGGGUGAGUAACGCGUAGGCAACCUGCCCCUGACAGAGGGAUAGCCAUUGGAAACGAUGAUUAAAACCUCAUGACACCGUAGUAGCACAUGCUACAUCGGUCAAAGAUUUAUCGGUCAGGGAUGGGCCUGCGUCUGAUUAACUGGUUGGUGAGGUAACGGCUCACCAAGGUGACGAUCAGUAGCCGACCUGAGAGGGUGAUCGGCCACAUUGGAACUGAGACACGGUCCAAACUUUUACGGAAGGCAGCAGUAGGGAAUCUUGCACAAUGGGCGAAAGCCUGAUGCAGCAACGCCGCGUGAAGGAUGAAGGCCUUCGGGUUGUAAACUUCUGUUCUAAGGGAAGAAAGAAAUGACGGUACCUAGGAGC
rnacentral:rRNA from 1 species